CCCUUAGAUGUUCUGGGCCGCACGCGUGCUACACUGAGUGGAUCAGCGGGUCAGGUUGCGCGAAAGUGUUUCCUAAUCUUGAAAUCCGCUCGUGAUGGGGAUUGACGGUUGCAAUUUUCCGUCAUGAACGAGGAAUACCUUGUAAGCGCGGGUCAUCAUCCCGCGCUGAAUACGUCCCUGCCCUUUGUACACACCGCCCGUCGCUCCUACCGAUUGAAUGGUCCGGUGAAGUGUUCGGAUAGCGGCAAGGCGGACGGUUCGCCGUCAGCUUCGCGGCUAGAAGUUCAUUAAACCUUAUCAUUUAGAGGAAGGAGAAGUCGUAACA
rnacentral:rRNA from 1 species